UUAGAUACCCUUGUAGUCCACGCCGUAAACGAUGAAUACUAGGUGUGGGAGUUAUCGUGACUUCCGUGCCGCAGUUAACACAAUAAGUAUUCCGCCUGGGGAGUACGGUCGCAAGAUUAAAACUCAAAGGAAUUGACGGGGGCCCGCACAAGCAGCGGAGCAUGUGGUUUAAUUCGAAGCAACGCGAAGAACCUUACCUAGACUUGACAUCAUUCUGCAUACUCAGUAAUGUGAGGAAGCCUCCUUUUCGGGGGCGGAAUGACAGGUGGUGCAUGGUUGUCGUCAGCUCGUGUCGUGAGAUGUUGGGUUAAGUCCCGCAACGAGCGCAACCCUUGUCGUUAGUUGCUACCAUUAAGUUGAGCACUCUAGCGAGACUGCCGCGGUUAACGCGGAGGAAGGUGGGGAUGACGUCAAAUCAUCAUGCCCCUUAUGUCUAGGGCUACACACGUGCUACAAUGGGCAGUACAAUGUGAUGCAAUCCCGUGAGGGGGAGCUAAACACGAAAACUGUUCCCAGUUCGGAUUGCAGGCUGCAACUCGCCUGCAUGAAGCUGGAGUUGCUAGUAAUCGCAAAUCAGAAUGUUGCGGUGAAUACGUUCCCGGGCCUUGUACACACCGCCCGUCACACCAUGAGAGUUGCCAACACCCGAAGUCCGUGAGGUAACCGUAAGGAGCCAGCGGCCGAAGGUGGGGGCAGCGAUUGGGGUG
rnacentral:rRNA from 1 species